rnacentral:rRNA from 1 species
CUACGGAAGGCAGCAGUGGGGAAUUUUGGACAAUGGGCGAAAGCCUGAUCCAGCCAUGCCGCGUGCAGGAUGAAGGCCUUCGGGUUGUAAACUGCUUUUGUACGGAACGAAAAGGUCUUUUCUAAUAAAGAAGGCCCAUGACGGUACCGUAAGAAUAAGCACCGGCUAACUACGUGCCAGCAGCCGCGGUAAUACGUAGGGUGCGAGCGUUAAUCGGAAUUACUGGGUGUAAAGCGUGCGCAGGCGGUUAUACAAGACAGAUGUGAAAUCCCCGGGCUCAACCUGGGAACUGCAAUUGUGACUGUAUAGCUAGAGUACGGUAGAGGGGGAUGGAAUUCCGCGUGUAGCAGUGAAAUGCGUAGAUAUGCGGAGGAACACCGAUGGCGAAGGCAAUCCCCUGGACCUGUACUGACGCUCAUGCACGAAAGCGUGGGGAGCAAACAGGAUUAGAAACCCCAGUAGUCCC